ACACAGGCAGAAUAAAGAAAGGAAAAAAAGGACAAGCAGACCUCAGUGUUGACACAGCAGCAAGAUGUAGGAAGCAAUAGGGAUGCUCCAACACUGAGGACCGAGACACUGAAACUCAAAUAGCCUUGAUUACAAAGUGCAGGCAGCUGCGCUCCUCCCAGGAGCCACAGGUGAGGAGGCUGGGUCAUCCAGGAGGAGUGACAGCUCACCUUCGAAACACAAAGAGGCCGUAUGAACGCCAAACAGAAAACUCUCAUCUUCAGAAAAGUCUUUGGAGUCAAAUUCUUCAUUUUCUCUGUGGCAGACUUUCUCCAGACCUUCCUAAGAAACUAAACCACUGGAGGAAUUUCUUAAACUCUCCCCAAACACACUCCUCUACCUACCAGUGUCCUCGUCUAACUCAUAGUAUUGAAGUAACAAAUACCUACUUGUCAUCCCAACAUCCACAUCUACUCUCCUCAACUUCUCUUGUCUCCUGGAUUUUAUAAUAUCUAUUAGAGGACAUGAGUCAAAGUCAAGGCCCGGGGGCCGGAUCCGGCCCUCCAGAUUUGGAAGACACCAUUUGGUAACCUUUAAGGCUCCCACCAGCUCGUAGCCAUGACCUUUGACCUCUUCUAUGUUUAUAAAGUCACCGUCCUUGACCAGAAUCUGAGGAGUCUGAAGCUUGCGAGUCCCACGCACCCGUUCAGUAACCCAUGGAGACGGGGCGAAUGGGGCCCUUGCAUGUCGGACAUGGAACGUGUGAUGAAGAGCUUUCCUGUCAUUGGACUCAGACUCUAAUUGAAUCUUGGGUUAUGGAUCAAGGAUUGUCAUUCAGUCUUGAUUCUGUGCCCUGUUUGGAUAAAAUCUUUGCUUUAGCUGAUGGAUUGUGCUCUUGCCUUUGUAGAGUGUGUUUGUUGAAGCCACAGUUGACUCCAACACGUUGCACUGGCUUUAUUUAGCAGCUUCAACACCAUGAAAGGUGUCUGACACAAGCAGAGACAGCGGGAAGGAUGUGGCCUGAGAGGAAACUGUCACACUGUCCUUGGGCUGACUGAAAAAUAAUCCUCCUAUUGUCCUCAAAAACUAAAGAAGUGAAGAACUUCUGUGGGUUGAAACAAGCCUCUUGUCUCCUAAUUGUUAGCGUAUCAUUGGGCUGAGGCUGAUAACUGUGUGCAUGCUUGACAAACUGCAAUGUGACGCAUUAUGAAACAAUAAAAUCCUUCGAUUUA